AUUGAACGCUGGCGGCAGGCUUAACACAUGCAAGUCGAGCGGGGGAAGGUAGCUUGCUACUGGACCUAGCGGCGGACGGGUGAGUAAUGCUUAGGAAUCUGCCUAUUAGUGGGGGACAACAUCUCGAAAGGGAUGCUAAUACCGCAUACGUCCUACGGGAGAAAGCAGGGGAUCUUCGGACCUUGCGCUAAUAGAUGAGCCUAAGUCGGAUUAGCUAGUUGGUGGGGUAAAGGCCUACCAAGGCGACGAUCUGUAGCGGGUCUGAGAGGAUGAUCCGCCACACUGGGACUGAGACACGGCCCAGACUCCUACGGGAGGCAGCAGUGGGGAAUAUUGGACAAUGGGGGGAACCCUGAUCCAGCCAUGCCGCGUGUGUGAAGAAGGCCUUAUGGUUGUAAAGCACUUUAAGCGAGGAGGAGGCUACUUUAGUUAAUACCUAGAGAUAGUGGACGUUACUCGCAGAAUAAGCACCGGCUAACUCUGUGCCAGCAGCCGCGGUAAUACAGAGGGUGCGAGCGUUAAUCGGAUUUACUGGGCGUAAAGCGUGCGUAGGCGGCUUAUUAAGUCGGAUGUGAAAUCCCCGAGCUUAACUUGGGAAUUGCAUUCGAUACUGGUGAGCUAGAGUAUGGGAGAGGAUGGUAGAGUUCCAGGUGUAG
rnacentral:rRNA from 1 species